CUCUGCUUUUGGCCACUUCUGUGCUGCGGAGGUGGCAGGUGCACCCAGCCUUCCAUGCUGUUUGCUGCCACAGACAGGCCUGGAGUGGCCCUCUGACAGGGACAGUCCUGGCGGUGUGUGCUCUGCUGCUUUCACCCACUCUCACGCUACCCGAAAGUUCUCUAAAGGACGCUACCACCCAGACACUUGUGCAAGCUGGAAACCACCAUCUUCAGCUCCUCCCCACUAUCUGUGCUAUCUGUCACCACCAAGGCCUGGUCAUGACCUGAGCAUCUAUCUACCUCCACAGCCUCCACCCUGGUCCAACAGAAAAUCACCUGUUACAUAUACUUGUGCAUUAGCCUCCUGUAUCCCUUACAGCUGCUCCUCAAACUUAAAUAUGCAUUUGAAUAACUUGGAGGGGGGCUUUAAAAACCUUCUUGACCAGGUCCAGUCUGGACAACUUAAAUCGGAAUCAAUCGUUGGGUGUGAUGUCUAGACAUCAGCAUUUUUUAAAGGGGAUUCCAAUCUCCAGGUACGGUUAAGAACCAUUGUAACAGAGGCUCUGAGCUGCAAACAACAUACAUCUGGGGCUCAAUUAGUUUAAAUCAGUGGUUUGUAACCUUUAGAGUACAUCAGAAUUAGCUAGAGAGCUUGUAAAAACCCAAAUGGCUGGGCCCCACCUCCAUGCUAGUAGCGUGGGAUGGAGUCUGAGAAUUUGUAUUCUUAAUGUUGCUGGCACAGGGACCACUGCUUCAAUGAGGAUGAAAGAAACCAUGUCACCUAUCAUAGGCCAGAGGCAGGGAGGGCUCUAGACAGUGCAAGCUGGCCUAUGAUGAGGGCAGACUUUGCAGCAGAAGUUCAUGGUGCUUUGUGACUGCACCCUGCAAUCUAUCCCUCCAGACUCGUUUCUUUCCAUAGCUUCCCUCCCCUCAUAUUCCAAGGGGUCCUGAAUCUCCAGUGGUUCCUGGGAUGCACCAUUCUGCUCUGCCCUUGCGAGGCAUAGUCAACCCACAGGGGAGGCAAGUCUGGGUUUUCCCAUCUCCCUCCACAUCCCUGUUUCCCCGCUGCAUCCACGUCCUUUCCCCGCGGGCACCACGUGUGCACUCAUCCAGACAGGCUGGUCGCUCUGUCCUACACAGGAAUCAGUUACAUCUGCCCCCACACCUUGGCUUGUUCUGGCUUCCCAUCUAGGCUUCCCUCCCUCCCUCUGCUCCACCUGUCUAAAUGGCCACCUCUGAAGCUACAGCCAAGUCUCACUGCCCCUCAAGAUCCCUUGGCAACCCCCCCUCCCUAAUACACCCAGCUUUCCUGAAUCCCGCUUUGUGUCAUUAGUUGUCCUUCCACCUAUUGGUCUUGGCUUCCAACUGGGCUACACAACACUUGAGGGUAAGAGCGAGACUGUACCACAGAUCUUUGAGUGUAGUAGACCUGGGUUUGACUCUGGGCUCUUUCCCUUGCUUCCUUAUUGAUUUUGGGCAAGUUAUUUGACACGAGCCCAGUCUUUUUUCCCAUCUGUUUAAAAACUGAAGGUGUGCAUGCUUCAGCAGCAUUACACUAAAAUCGGAACAAUACAGAGAUUAGCAUUAAAAUUAUUAAAAAUUUUAAAAAUAAAACGAAGCAAAUAAAAAUUAAAGUUAUUUUAUAACACGACCUGUCUUAAAGGCCACUAAAAAUAUCAACUGAAGUCAAGGAUGUGAAAGAAUUUGGUAGCCUGGGCUGAGCUGUACAAAGAGUGGCUGCACUUGCCCCACAUCCGUAGAUUGCAGUUCGAUAGACCUGUAUCUGUCCCCAAGCUCAUUCUCCACCUGUGUGACCUUGAGAAAGUCACUUAACUUCCUAGAGCAUCACUCUCUUAAUCUGUGGCAUGGGAAUGUAAGAAGAUUAAAUGAAAUGCAAAGUUCCUGGGUCAAUAAAUGUCACAGGCAAAAUGCUUAGUGAAUGAAAUUCUUCUUAAAAGUACGGCUUUGUCUCUAGAUGGUGAAGAAAGUGCUUUAUGGCUGGGCGGACAGUUCUAAAUAGCUGAGUUAGGGAGGAAAAGCCACAGGAUACGCUGGACACCCCCUCGCAGCCCUCCCCACCCACUGCCCACAGCUGAGUCAAAGCCAGUUCCCUGCAAAGGACAAAAGGGAAGGAAAUGAGGCCGCUUCAUUUGCUCUCUGACUGGAUCUGUUUCCUCACCCGAGAUUGCUGGUAUGUCUGUCAUCUAGCCUCUACGGCAGCCGGCAGCCAGCAGCCGCUAUCCUCUGAAGGUCCUUUUAAUGGCUGGAGGGUCUGGACUGUCAGGAGAGGCAGGCUCCCCCGCGGGAAUGGAAACGUUUGAGCCUGGAUCUCCAACCCAGGUACUUGCCCUUGCUCUGGGCUGCAGGCCUGGGAGCCCAUGGAAGCAUGCCUGUCCUGGGAACGUUCUCUCUUCAGCCACGCGGGUCUAACCCAAACUCUGUCAAUUCGUCUUUUAGAAUAUCUCCUUUUUGGUGAAAUCGGAAUAAAGUUCUGCAGUUUG